ensembl:lncRNA
CAGACAGACAGACAGACAGACAGACAGACAGACAGACAGACAGACAGACAGACAGACAGACAGACAGACAGACAGACAGACAGACAGACAGACAGAGCUAGCAAGGGAGAGGGACAAGAGAGAGAGGGAGAAGGAGAGGUAGAUAGACAAGAGAUGGGACACAGCCAGAAAGUCUAUCUUCACCUCCUCAAAGGUCACUUAGCGUGACUAAUGAGGGCCUGAUGAGGGACCCAGGACGCAGACAGGAGCCAGCUUUGUCCCCUGGUCCCCUUGACACACACAUGCACACAAGCACAUGUGCACGUGCAUACACACAAAGACACACAAACACACUCACAAGGAUGCAUAUCCACACGCACGUAGACACACAAACACACACACACACACACACACACAUACAUGGCCAAUAUCAAACUAAUUCAGAUCCCCCAUCAGCUUCUGUCAGACUGUCAAGCCUAGCUGAUGUCCUCCACCCUGCUUUCCCAACCAGAUCUCACACAGACAUGGGUUGACUUCAGUAUUCAACGUUUGUUCAGAUGGGGGAUAAUCAUCCAAUUUUGACAGUUAAGUUUAGGCAUUAAUUCUGAAUGGUUACGAUAAGGGUUGAGGUUUCAGAUAGGGUUAAAACAAACAUAACAAAAAACUCAGGAAGUGCAUGUUGCAGAUAUAAUGAAUAGACCAAACACAAUCUCCUGUACCAUUCCAAUCUAUCUGACAGGAGAUCAAAUUUGAUCUACACAAUACAUUUCUAUCUGAACAUUCUGUAUAUUUCCUUUCUCCUGAACAGACCCCAGCUGUAGAUAAUCAAGUCAAACCAAUCAACCAAUGAUAUUUUUACAGAUAAGUAUAAAUAAGUUGUGACUAAACUACAGUAUGCCUCUUUCAACAUGCCACUGAAAAGGUUGAAAGCUGUGAUACAUUUUAUGAUGCCUGAAAAUACUGCAGAGAAAUUCAAAGAAAUGUGCAAACAUUGCAGGCAUUGGAUGCUCGACAAAAACAAGGUAGAACCUCUUUGUCUAUCUGAGUGUUCUUAUUUCAAACACACAGUAAAGCAUAUUUAAAGGGAUGGUUUAAUAAGACAAAUGAACAUGAGUUCCCUCCCACCUUGGCUGUCAAGAAGGCAGUUUUUUAUAUUUAGUUCUCUUAGACACUUAUUGGCUAUAUUUUAACCGUUACUGCAUUAUUAAUAACAGUUAUUGUGCCUGUGUAACAACACUGUAAUCACUUUUAGAGCACAAUUUUAUUAGUAUGCUGUUACAUAAUACUUGGGUAAUUAAAUUGCAUAGCAAUGAGCCGAGAGAUUUUGAAACUACUGUGCACAAGAUUAGUGAUUGUACCUUAUUCCACUUGUGUAUUAACUCCCUUAUUUUGCAAAUAUAAACCAAUACCUAAAGUCUUAUUUAAUAAGCAUGUUGCUAUUGUAGUAAUCACAAGGUUACUACAUAUAUGGUAUAUUGUAUAUGUAUGUUAUAUGAACUUGAUGUCCAGUGUUAAUGUACAUUAUGUUUCACUCAUUAAGAAAAUGUAUUUUAGACAAGCGUUCCAACUCCAAUGUUGAGGUGAGUCCAUGUCCCUAACGAACAAUUGCCUAGAUGUACCUAAAUGCCUGAUUGAUUUACAUUUGUAUCCCUUUCCGUUAUUUAGAUAAAUGUGAAUGUUUGCCAUGUUUUAUUUGAUUCAAUCAUGAACUUUUUAAUGAUAGGCUAUAUAUUAAGAUUCAUACCUGAAAGUCGUACAGACCAUGUGAUAAUCAUCAUUUAGGUAUCUAGAAUACCUAAACUAAUUGUUGUAGUUUUUGUGUUCCUUAUCAAAUAUUUCGCAGCCAUCAAAUAACUACAUUGUUUUUUUUCUGAGAAGUAUUCAAAAUACGUUCAAAUAUUUUAAACCAAUUCAUUAAAAGGCCAUUAUCUGUGCUUUAAAAUAUGAUUUGUUUUUCUGAGACCUGUAUAUGAAUAUCAAAGGAAAUACUUGCAUUCAGUGGAUUCUCUACAUGUUCCACUACCUUUUGA